AACGAACGCUGGCGGCAUGCCUAACACAUGCAAGUCGAACGAGACCUUCGGGUCUAGUGGCGCACGGGUGCGUAACGCGUGGGAACCUGCCCUUAGGUUCGGAAUAACUCCCCGAAAGGGGUGCUAAUACCGGAUAAUGUCUUCGGACCAAAGAUUUAUCGCCUUUGGAUGGGCCCGCGUUGGAUUAGCUAGUUGGUAGGGUAAAAGCCUACCAAGGCGACGAUCCAUAGCUGGUCUGAGAGGAUGAUCAGCCACACUGGGACUGAGACACGGCCCAGACUGGUACGGGAGGGAGGAGUGGGGAAUAUUGGAGAAGGGGCGAAAGCCUGAGCCAGCAAUGCGGGGUGAGUGAUGAAGGCGUUAGGGUUGUGAAGCUGUUUUAGCCGGGAUGAUAAUGACAGUACCGGGAGAAUAAGCGCCGGCUAACUCCGUG
rnacentral:rRNA from 1 species